ensembl:lncRNA
CACCUGGGCACAGAGCUGAGCAGCCCUCUUCUAUACGAUACUGCCUACUCACCACUCAUGACUUCCAGUAUCAGGUACUCUCAUCUUUCAAGACCUUCAGUUGCCCCCAAGGAAAAGAUGCGCAGAAAGAAGCAUGAAAACUCUGGACAAACUUCCAUGACAUUUGGUUCUGCAACAUCCAUGAGCCUAAACCUACCACACACUGCAUCAGGAAAAGACCACAUCAUGAAUGCUUAUGGCAAAGCUGAUUUCUUGUAGGUUUACAGAGCAAGUUGGUUUGUAGUGGUUUCACUUUAGCAUCUGUAACUUACAGUAAAAAUAUUAAGGUGUAUGGAGAAGGAAUAAUGACUAGAAUAGAA